GAUGAACGCUGGCGGCGUGCCUAAUACAUGCAAGUCGAGCGAACAGACGAGGAGCUUGCUCCUCUGACGUUAGCGGCGGACGGGUGAGUAACACGUGGAUAACUGAUCUAGAAGACUGGGAUAACUUCGGGAAACCGGAGCCAAUACCGGACAAGAUAUUGAACCGCAUGGUUCAAUAGUGAAAGACGGUUUUGCUGUCACUUAUAGAUGGAACCGCGCCGCAUUAGCUAGUUGGUAAGGUAACGGCUUACCAAGGCAACGAUGCGUAGCCGACCUGAGAGGGUGAUCAGCCACACUGGAACUGAGACACGGUCCAGACUCCUACGGGAGGCAGCAGUAGGGAAUCUUCCGCAAUGGGCGAAAGCCUGACGGAGCAACGCCGCGUGAGUGAUGAAGGUCUUCGGAUCGUAAAACUCUGUUAUUAGGGAAGAACAAAUGUGUAAGUAACUAUGCACGUCUUGACGGUACCUACUCAGAAAGCCACGGCUAACUACGUG
rnacentral:rRNA from 1 species